AAUCUAAAAUUGUGUCUUCUAUAGACAGCAUAUAGUUAGUUCUAGUUUUUUGUCUAUUCUUACAAUCUCUGCCUUUUAUUGGAUUGUGUAAUCCAUUCACAUUUAAAGUUACUAUUGAUUUAGUUGAUUCAUUUGCCAUUUAAAAUUUUUUCUGGCUAGAUUUAGGAAGAUGGCGGCAAGGGGAGUGCAUUGCCCCCGUGUGCU
rnacentral:lncRNA from 1 species